ACUUGUCAAUGCCCGCCGAAGUUUUACGGCAAAACCGACACGGCACCCGGAGACGUAAAUAGUGAAUUUAUGAUAGAGGGCUUUUUAGCCUUAGUGAUCUAAACCAAAGUUGUAGUAUACGUUAAACCGAGAACAUCCAUAAAAAGAACGCCCAAAUCUGACUUCGUAUGAGGAAGUUAUGAUUUUUCUAAGAUUCGGCUUAAAAGUGUACAGCCCGCAACUCGAAUUUUAGUUCGAGUGGUUUUUGGCUUAUUCGACCUAAAUGAGAGUUGAAGAUAUCAUUAAUAGGAACUCAAUGGUAAAAAGACAGACGAAAACGAAGUCCGUAUGAAGGAGUUACGAAUUCUUCGCAGUCAUGUAGCAGUCUAAACUCCUCCUAUUGUUAAAUUUAAGAUCAGCUGAGAAUUAGCCAACGGAGUCUAAAUGAAAGUUGUAGAUCUUGAUUUUACCUACGCGUGAAUAUAAAGAACGUCGAAAACGGAGCUUGUAUGUGAGAGUUAUGAUUUUUCUAAGUCGGGAGGCUGAUACGCGAUAGGGGUGAUGUGGCACCACCAUAAUUGGACACGUGGCACCACCAGAGGGCUGCCACAUGCCCCAACUCAGCAAGUAGGUCCUCCUACUCGGCGAUUCCAUCAGUCAGCACCCCUAUAAAUAGAGGUGUCGGGUUCCCUCACUUCCUCACACCUUCCAAUUUCUCUUUCUCUCUCUACUCUCUCUCUAAGCUCCCUAACCCCCCAAAGCCUAGGGUAACUCCCUAGC
rnacentral:lncRNA from 1 species